AGUCGGAUAGCUCAGUCGGUAGAGCAUCUCUGGCAUGUCUUUUAUUGAGUCAAGGGAGUGUCUCGGGUUCGAGUCCCGAUCUGGCUU
rnacentral:tRNA from 1 species